rnacentral:rRNA from 1 species
CAGCAGCCGCGGUAAUACAGAGGGUGCGAGCGUUAAUCGGAUUUACUGGGCGUAAAGCGUGCGUAGGCGGCUUCUUAAGUCGGAUGUGAAAUCCCUGAGCUUAACUUAUGAAUUGCAUUCGAUACUGGGAAGCUAGAGUAUGGGAGAGGAUGGUAGAACUCCAGGUGUAGCGGUGAAAUGCGUAGAGAUCUGGAGGAAUACCGAUGGCGAAGGCAGCCAUCUGGCCUAAUACUGACGCUGAGGUACGAAAGCAUGGGGAGCAAACAGGAUUAGAUACCCCCGUAGUCCCUGUCUCUUAUAC